rnacentral:rRNA from 1 species
AUUGAACGCUGGCGGCAUGCUUUACACAUGCCAGUCGAACGGUAACAGGCCGCUAGGUGCUGACGAGUGGCGGACGGGUGAGUAAUGCAUCGGAACGUGCCCAGUCGUUGGGGAUAACUACUCGAAAGAGUAGCUAAUACCGCAUACGAUCUAUGGAUGAAAGCGGGGGACCGUAAGGCCUCGCGCGAUUGGAGCGGCCGAUGUCAGAUUAGGUAGUUGGUGGGGUAAAGGCUCACCAAGCCAACGAUCUGUAGCUGGUCUGAGAGGACGACCAGCCACACUGGGACUGAGACACGGACCAGACUCCUACGGGAGGCAGCAGUGGGGAAUUUUGGACAAUGGGCGCAAGCCUGAUCCAGCAAUGCCGCGUGCAGGAAGAAGGCCUUCGGGUUGUAAACUGCUUUUGUACGGAACGAAACGGCUCUGGUUAAUACCCGGGGCUAAUGACGGUACCGUAAGAAUAAGCACCGGCUAACUACGUG